GAGCCUCAUCUUGCUCAGGAAAGCGAUGUGUCCAGCUAAAAAUAUUCACCUCCCGGACUUCUUGCAUCAAAAGAAGGCCACGUGAUCCAUUCUGGAGAAUGAGCAAAUCCAACAGCAAAGCUGUCCGAAGUCGGCCUGGACUGUCUCAGGAGGUGGAGGACAUUUAUUCAGAGGCAACUUGCAGCCCUAGUUGGGUAGCUCCGUUGGUUAGUCAU